ensembl:lncRNA
UGCCAGUUAUUCUCUCUGUGCCUCAAAAAAAUCAGAACCAAAGAUAGAAAAAUUCACCUAAGGGUGUUAGAUGUGGCAUCAGACCAGUCUGGGUUUGAGUCCAGGUUCUGUCAGACGCCCUCUGACCCCUCUGGGCCUCAGCCCCCUCAUCUGUAAAACAGAGGAAAAUAACACCUAUUGUGCAGAUCUGUUGUGAGAAGCUCAUUUCAAAUGCAAAGAAUGACUUUUUGCUUUUCUCUUUGGGCCUCAGUUUCCUCAUUUGUAAAAUGGAUGGGUUAGACUCCUAGUCCAUUCCUGUCCUGCCAUUCAGUAAUUGUGUCACCAAUGGCUGAGUCUUAUGACUUAUGAGAAGGAGAAAGCUGGCCUUCAGAGGUGCUUUUUCCUGGUGGGCGGUUUUGAAGAUGAAGGAAGCAGUGGCUUGAUCAGGAACUUCCUGCUCUCUGAUUCUCUCCAUCCUUCCAGGCAUAGCUCAAGCCCACCUCCUCCAGGAUGCCCUCCUGGCACAGGCCAUCUCAGCCUUUCUGAAGCACCCACACGUUUGACCUUGACCUCCACCCCAGCCUUUUUCCUAUCUGCCUGAGACAAGUGAGUGUGUCUCAAUGGGCUGUCUAGGCAAGAGGACCUUAAGGCCACCUCCUUGGAGCUCCCUGAAAACUCCUCUCCUGGAUGAGGCCACGAGAGGGACACCAGCUGGGCCAAGGGCACCCUGAGAUAUUGUGGGCAGAUGGGAGUUCCCCCCACCGAACUCCUUUGAAACGACUGACGCUGGAAGUCUGAACAAAGGCACCAGGCUUUAGAUUGCAUGGCACUGAUGCACAGGAGCGCUGCCGUGCAACGCUGCUGGGUUUGGGUCACAGCCUCACAGCGACGGGCUCGCCCUGCCCUCCCUGGACCCCUGGACAUUUCCAGCGCUGACAGCACUGUCUCCAGAGGUGCUGACCCAGGGCUUGGAGCCCUCAAAGCCCUGAGUGUCCCCUGUGCCGUAGCCCUCGUCAAGCUCCGUCACCCCAGGGCCCCUGUGCAAGUUCUUUUUUAGAACUCAAACAGCCUUGGGAGAGGUAACCUAUUAAGUGGCUGAGAAACAUUAAAAGCUGUUCAACUGCAUAACCCAGGACCUGAGUUGAAGUCUUCUUAGCUCAGCCAUUUCCUGGCUCUGUGACCUUGAGGCAGCAUUUAAUUCCAUGGAGUCCGCUUCCACUGGAGAAAAAUGGGAAUAUUGAAAGAACCCUGUGAGAGAGACUGGACUGGCAAGAAUUUGAGAUCAAAGAUAGAACAACACUUUGAAAACCACAUACCAUCGUACACCUGCAGAAGAAUAUUGUUUUCCUUGUUGUCCAAACAACUCGUGCAUUUCCAGGACCACUUUCAUGACAGGAGGGCAGAAGAAACCAUGGGGAGCAGGGGUGAUGAGACCUGGAGCAGGGACAUGGACCCACCAAGGGAAGGAAGGUUGGUGACAGGAAGUGAAAUGGCCGCUCCACAGAGCGUUGAUCCCAGCAUUUCUGUCUCUGGCGAGGGGGCUUUGCUUCAUACUUCAAACGUAACUCAGUCAGUCUCUCUCUCUUCUUUCCUCCUCUGCCUGCUCCUCCCCGUCUUCCUU